AUGUUUGUAGGUGGCCUUUUAAAUUCGCCAUCAGAUUUCAGGGCUCAAUACUGGCCGGAUAGACGAUGGAAACUACCAAGCUAUAGGAUGGCAGGAGCCAAGGGAAUUUACAGUGGAGCGGUGAAAUGCGUAGAGAUUGAAAAGAACACCACCGAUUAUAUAUUUUGCUUGACUCACACUGACACUGAAAAACAAAAGUUAUGAGAGCGAAUGAGAUUAGAAUCCUUAGUAGUUAUAGCUGUAAAUGAUGAAUACCGGGAUCCCACUCGCCGGAUUUCU
rfam:Populus trichocarpa scaffold_5_contig_412, whole genome shotgun sequence.